CACAUAGCCAGAAAUUAGUAGUGGUUUUGCUAAUUAAUAUUCAUAAUAUGUAAAUGAGAAUUGUACCACGUGAUAAUACUUUGAACUGGACUGGCUUGAUAGGCUUGGUAUCAUUAAAAUCUUUAAAACACGGAUAUUAUAAGUUGCCCGUCACAGAGUCCUUAUUUACAAUCACUUUGAUAUUUCCGUAAAGUUGUCAGGCGGUCAAAAUCAAAACAAUGAACGCGAAUUUAGUGAAUUUUUCGUGCUUUCGUGAGUUUAUUCUUCUUGAAAUAGUGACAUUUUAAUUUUACGUGGGAACCUAGAGUUCAAUGACUACACAUACAAGGUUUGGACUUGCUUAUUCUUUGGAAAUUCAAGUUUCAUAUUUCACCCCGGCAACCUGUUUUUGU
rnacentral:lncRNA from 1 species